rnacentral:rRNA from 1 species
UGGGGGAUAUUGCACAAUGGGCGAAAGCCUGAUGCAGCGACGCCGCGUGGGGGAUGAAGGCCUUCGGGUUGUAAACUUCUUUUGCUCUGAACAAGGCGCACCAUGGGGUGUGUUGAGUGUAGGGGUUGAUUAGCGCCGGCUAACUACGUGCCAGCAGCCGCGGUAAUACGUAGGGCGCGAGCGUUGUCCGGAAUUAUUGGGGGUAAAGGGCUUGUAGGUGGCUGGUUGCGUCUGUCGUGAAAGCUCAUGGCUUAACUGUGGGUUUGCGGUGGGUACGGGCUGGCUUGAGUGCAGUAGGGGAGGCUGGAAUUCCUGGUGUAGCGGUGGAAUGCGCAGAUAUCAGGAGGAAUACCGGUGGCGAAGGCGGGUCUCUGGGCUGUUACUGACACUGAGGAGCGAAAGCAUGGGGAGCGAACAGG